rnacentral:lncRNA from 1 species
UCGGAGCCUCCUCUAUUCCUUUCACAGAAUGGUUGAAUCACAGAAUGACUGAGGUUGGAAGGGACCUUUGGAGAUCAUCUAGUCCAACCUGGACACAUGAGUUGAAUGCCACUCAUCAGGAUCAUCUUUGCUACCAAGCUGACAUGUUGUGUUGUUUUGUGAAACAGCGAAAAUGAUUGUAAGAUGAUUGCUGCCAUCUUUUAUGAGUAUGGCAAGGAGUGGACUUCUGGACACUUGUUUAUUAAAGUUAAUAGCAUCCUGGUACAGAGAGACUUUACAUGGAAUAAAGCACACGCUGAGGUCACAGGUGUCAACUCUCAUCAAAGUUCCGUAUCUU